AAUGAACGCUGGCGGCGUGCUUAACACAUGCAAGUCGAACGAGAACGGCCCUUCGGGGUGUCAGCUAAGUGGCGCACGGGUGAGUAAUGUAUAGCUAACGUGCCCCAUGGAGAGGGAUAACAGUUGGAAACGACUGCUAAUACUUCAUACUCCGUUUUGACACAAGUUGAAACGGGAAAUGUUUUUCGCCAUGGGAUCGGGCUAUAUUGUAUCAGCUAGUUGGUGGGGUAAAGGCUUACCAAGGCUAUGACGCAUAGCUGGUCUGAGAGGAUGAUCAGCCACACUGGAACUGAGACACGGUCCAGACUCCUACGGGAGGCAGCAGUGGGGGAAUAUUGCACAAUGGGGGAAACUCUGAUGCAGCAACGCCGCGUGGAGGAUGACACUUUUCGGAGCGUAAACUCCUUUUUAUAUAGGAAGAUAAUGACGGUACUAUAUGAAUAAGCA
rnacentral:rRNA from 1 species